rnacentral:lncRNA from 1 species
CAUGGUUGCAGAAGAAAAGAAUUGUUUCAGGAAGCAAGAAUAAGGACCAGGGAUGCCUCGAUGAAGUAAGGCAACUGUAUCUGGGAAAUAAACACAGAGACAAACUCAUAUUCAAGACAGACUCCUGGAGAUGCCAGAUAUGUAGCCAUUUGGAUAACAACUCCUGAGGCUUACCUGGAUCAGAGCAUCGCCCUUCAAACAACUGGAUAAUAACUUGUAUCUCUAGAGCAUUUAACCUUCACAACAGCCUUGCAAGUAAACAAAGGAAGUUCUCUUGAGCCAGAUGCAAAGGACAACUGAUCCGCCAUAUUCCAUGCCAUUUGCAAGGGUGUGUUUCAUUGAUUUCAUCCCAAUGACAAAUGAUCUGCUAUUCCAUUUGUUUAAAAUCAAAGAAUAACCAGAGAGUUUGAUAUUUCAAAGGACACCCGUGACUUGCGUGGUACAGUGGAGAAAAACAACAACAUUGGAUUUGAAGACAGAAGAGUAAGCAUUCAAAUCCCAGCUCUAUUACUAACUACCUGUAAGACCUUUGGCAAGUUACUCUGGUCUUCAUCUGAAAAAUGAAAGAACUGGACUAGAUCAGUUCUUAACUUGGGAACCAUUAACUUGUUUCUUAAUGCUCUGGUAACAUAAAUGAUUUCCUUUGUAAUCCUACAUAUUUGUUUUUAUGUAAGGAUUUAUUUCAUGUGUUCGUCUUCCUUGUUUCUAUUCUUCAGUUCAUGAUUUUAUGUAUUUAAAACUUAAUUCUGAGAAGAGCUUCAUAAAGCUUCACCAGAUUGCCCAAGGGGCCCUGGACAACAAAAGUUGAAAAAAUCACUGGCCCUUCCAACUCUAAACUUAUGGUGCUCUUUCUCCUUAGGGGUCUUAUCUUCCUUUUAUGUCCUGCACUAAUCUGUAAAAGCAUAAUAUCUCUUAAUGAGAUAUAGAAUGAGAACUACAAUAAUCUUAUAAACUUCAUCUCCAAAGAUCUUCAUGAUUCAAGGUCAGUCCAAAUAAUAAAAGGUGAAGUAGGUGAAACA